GACGAACGCUGGCGGCGUGCUUAACACAUGCAAGUCGAACGGUAAGGCCCUUCGGGGUACACGAGUGGCGAACGGGCGAGUAACACGUGGGUGAUCUGCCCUGCACUUCGGGAUAAGCCUGGGAAACUGGGUCUAAUACCGGAUAGGACCACUGCCUGCAUGGGUGGUGGUGGAAAGCUUUUGCGGUGUGGGAUGGGCCCGCGGCCUAGCAGCUUGUUGGUGGGGUGAUGGCCUACCAAGGCGACGACGGGUAGCCGGCCUGAGAGGGUGACCGGCCACACUGGGACUGGGAUACGGCCCAGACUCCUACGGGAGGCAGCAGUGGGGAAUAUUGCACAAUGGGCGCAAGCCUGAUGCAGCGACGCCGCGUGAGGGAUGACGGCCUUCGGGUUGUAAACCUCUUUCAGCACCGACGAAGCGCAAGUGACGGUAGGUGCAGAAGAAGGACCGGCCAACUACGUGCCAGCCGCCGCGGUAA
rnacentral:rRNA from 1 species